UACGUAGGGGGCUAGCGUUGUCCGGAAUCAUUGGGCGUAAAGAGCGUGUAGGCGGCUCGGUAAGUCCGCUGUAAAAGUCAAAGGCUCAACCUUUGAAUGUCAGUGGAUACUGCCGGGCUAGAGUCCGGAAGAGGCGAGUGGAACUCCUGGUGUAGCGGUGAAAUGCGCAGAUAUCGGGAGGAACACCUAUGGCGAAGGCAGCUCGCUGGGACGGUACUGACGCUGAGACGCGAAAGCGUGGGGAGCAAACAGG
rnacentral:rRNA from 1 species